rfam:Camelus ferus unplaced genomic scaffold scaffold726, whole genome shotgun sequence.
UUGGCUUGCUCAAGUCAGUGUCCAAAUUCUUUCCUGCACUUUCAAGGGGCGCUGGGUUGGUAGAAG